AUAAUUUAAUAAAAGUGGGGCAAAGCGGAUAAAGUCCCAAGUAUCGGCCUUUCACGCCGUCAACAGCGGUUCGAAUCCGCUUGGGGACGCCA
rnacentral:tRNA from 1 species